rnacentral:rRNA from 1 species
UACAGAGGGGGCAAGCGUUGUUCGGAAUUACUGGGCGUAAAGGGCGCGUAGGCGGCCCGCUAAGUCGAACGUGAAAUCCCACGGCUCAACCGUGGAACUGCUGGGCAUACUGCGGGUCUUGGGCCAACUAGGGGCAGCCGGAACAAGCGGUGGAGCGGUGAAAUGCGUAGAUAUCGUAAGGAAGACCAGUGGCGAAGGCGGGUCUCUGGACAGUUCCUGACACUGAGGCACGAAGGCCAGGGGAGCAAACGGG